GCGCAGGCGCCGAAGCCACACCGCGAAGUACCGUUUUUUCAGGCACAAGGAAGGUUUCACCCCGUUGCCGAAAGACUAAGCGUCCCGUUGGCCAGUGCAACGAAGAACGGAGGAAGCGACAAGAUUUCAGUUUGUAAGUAGUGAGAGCAAUGAUCUUGGCUUUGCAUGGUGCUCAGGAAGCCUUCCCCGCUCCCAAACCAGAAAGGAAUCCAUCCAGAUUUUCCUCCACUGUCUGGAUGGCCGCUCUGUGGAUGCUUCCAUCUGUAUCCAUUGCCGGCACCUGGUGAGAUUCCGUCUCUAGAGCCUUUGAGGUCACUCCUGACGCUGACAUGGCUGUGAAGAGCUGGGUGCCAGGCAUUACUGCCUCCAAGGUUGCUUUGCGAGGAAUAGGUGGGGCAUCAGGAAGAAGCCAGUUGCAGGCAAGGCCUCUGCUGAUGCUGCUUUUUUCUCCUGUACCCAUCCAUGGGAGGGAGCUGUGAGAUGGCCUGGCAGAACCCGCUCUUGGACCCCACAGAAUGAGAGGCUCACCCUGCACAGGAACAUCCUGGGGCAGCAGGCUCAGCACAUUUUAAAUUUUGAGUAUGAACAAAGUAAACUUCAGGGUUAAAAAAAAACACAAAAAUUUGUCGAGCACACAAUGAUUGAGUGCCUAUGGUAUACCUGACGCUUUGCCAUAUCCAGGCUUCAAACCUCAGGGUUCUGGGUCCUUUGAGGCCCAGCUCCAACCCCACCUCACCCAAGCACUCUCCACCCCCACCACGUAACCUUACCAGGGCUGCCCAGCUUGGGUCAUCUCAGACCACUUGGGCCCCUCAGGCCUCACGCCCUGAGCCCCUCAGCCUGGAAACCAGCCUGGACACUAUGGGGGCCCCUGAGGUUUCCACCUCCUGCUGCCCUUGGCCUGAAAGGGGUCAGUGGGACCCCGCCUUGGGCCUCUGGGAGGCUGUACCUUUGCUUCUGC
rnacentral:lncRNA from 1 species